rnacentral:rRNA from 1 species
AUUGAACGCUGGCGGCAGGCCUAACACAUGCAAGUCGAACGGAGCGGCGGAGGGGUGAGUAAUGCCAAGGAAUCUGCCAGGUAGUGGGGGAUAACGUCCGGAAACGGGCGCUAAUACCGCACACCAUAGGCUGAGACCAAAUGGGAUUAGCUAGUUGGUGGGGUAAAGGCCUACCAAGGCGACGAUCCGUAACUGGUCUGAGAGGAUGAUCAGUCACACUGGAACUGAGACACGGUCCAGACUCCUACGUGAGGCAGCAGUGGGGAAUAUUGGACAAUGGGCGAAAGCCUGAUCCAGCCAUGCCGCGUGUGUGAAGAAGGUCUUCGGAUUGUAAAGCACUUUAAGUUGGGAGGCGUUACCAGCAGAAUAAGCACCGGCUAACUCCGUGCCAGCAGCCGCGGUAAUUC